rnacentral:rRNA from 1 species
ACAGGAUUAGAUACCCUGGUAGUCCACGCCGUAAACGAUGUCGACUUGGAGGUUGUGCCCUUGAGGCAUGGCUUCCGGAGCUAACGCGUUAAGUCGACCGCCUGGGGAGUACGGCCGCAAGGUUAAAACUCAAAUGAAUUGACGGGGGCCCGCACAAGCGGUGGAGCAUGUGGUUUAAUUCGAUGCAACGCGAAGAACCUUACCUGGUCUUGACAUCCACGGAAGUUUUCAGAGAUGAGAAUGUGCCUUCGGGAACCGUGAGACAGGUGCUGCAUGGCUGUCGUCAGCUCGUGUUGUGAAAUGUUGGGUUAAGUCCCGCAACGAGCGCAACCCUUAUCCUUUGUUGCCAGCGGUCCGGCCGGGAACUCAAAGGAGACUGCCAGUGAUAAACUGGAGGAAGGUGGGGAUGACGUCAAGUCAUCAUGGCCCUUACGACCAGGGCUACACACGUGCUACAAUGGCGCAUACAAAGAGAAGCGACCUCGCGAGAGCAAGCGGACCUCAUAAAGUGCGUCGUAGUCCGGAUUGGAGUCUGCAACUCGACUCCAUGAAGUCGGAAUCGCUAGUAAUCGUGGAUCAGAAUGCCACGGUGAAUACGUUCCCGGGCCUUGUACACACCGCCCGUCACACCAUGGGAGUGGGUUGCAAAAGAAGUAGGUAGCUUAACCUUCGGGAGGGCGCUUACCACUUUGUGAUUCAUGACUGGGGUGAAGUCGUAACAAGGUAACC